UCAAGCGAACAAGUGCAUGUGGUGGAUGCCUUGGCGAUCACAGGCGAUGAAGGACGCGGUAGCCUGCGAAAAGCUACGGGGAGCUGGCAAACAAGCUUUGAUCCGUAGAUGUCCGAAUGGGGAAACCCGGCCCUUUUGGGUCAUCCUGGACUGAAUACAUAGGUCCAGUGAAGCGAACGCGGUGAACUGAAACAUCUAAGUAACCGCAGGAAAAGAAAUCAACCGAGAUUCCCAAAGUAGUGGCGAGCGAAAUGGGAUGAGCCUUGCACUCUUUAUUUGUAUUGUUAGCCGAACGCUCUGGAAAGUGCGGCCAUAGCAGGUGAUAGCCCUGUAGGCGAAAACAGUAUGAAAGAACUAGGUGUGCGACAAGUAGGGCGGGACACGUGAAAUCCUGUCUGAAGAUGGGGGGACCAUCCUCCAAGGCUAAAUACUCGUGAUCGACCGAUAGUGAACCAGUACCGUGAGGGAAAGGCGAAAAGAACCCCGGGAGGGGAGUGAAAUAGAUCCUGAAACCGCAUGCAUACAAACAGUCGGAGCCUCGUAAGGGGUGACGGCGUACCUUUUGUAUAAUGGGUCAGCGACUUACGUUCAGUAGCAAGCUUAACCGUAUAGGGCAGGCGUAGCGAAAGCGAGUCCGAAUAGGGCGUUCAGUUGCUGGGCGUAGACCCGAAACCAGGUGAUCUAUCCAUGGCCAGGAUGAAGGUGCGGUAACACGUACUGGAGGUCCGAACCCACUAACGUUGAAAAGUUAGGGGAUGAGCUGUGGAUAGGGGUGAAAGGCUAAACAAACCUGGAAAUAGCUGGUUCUCUCCGAAAACUAUUUAGGUAGUGCCUCGUGUCUCACCUUCGGGGGUAGAGCACUGUCAUGGUUGGGGGGUCUAUUGCAGAUUACCCCGCCAUAGCAAACUCCGAAUACCGAAGAGUGCAAUCACGGGAGACAGACAUCGGGUGCUAACGUCCGGUGUCAAGAGGGAAACAACCCAGACCGCCAGCUAAGGUCCCCAAAUAUAGCUAAGUGGGAAACGAAGUGGGAAGGCUAAAACAGUCAGGAGGUUGGCUUAGAAGCAGCCACCCUUUAAAGAAAGCGUAAUAGCUCACUGAUCGAGUCGUCCUGCGCGGAAGAUGUAACGGGGCUAAGCUAUAUACCGAAGCUGCGGAUGCGUGCUUUGCACGCAUGGUAGGAGAGCGUUCCGUAAGCCUGCGAAGGUGCGUUGAAAAGCGUGCUGGAGGUAUCGGAAGUGCGAAUGCUGACAUGAGUAGCGAUAAAGGGGGUGAAAGGCCCCCUCGCCGUAAGCCCAAGGUUUCCUACGCAACGUUCAUCGGCGUAGGGUGAGUCGGCCCCUAAGGCGAGGCAGAAAUGCGUAGCUGAUGGGAAGCAGGUCAAUAUUCCUGCACCAUUGUUAGAUGCGAUGGGGGGACGGAUCGCGGAAGGUUGUCCGGGUGUUGGAAGUCCCGGUCGCUGCAUUGGAGAAGGCGCUUAGGCAAAUCCGGGCGCGUAAUUCAAGGGUGUGGCGCGAGCUCCCUAGGGAGCGAAGCAAUUGGAAGUGGUUCCAAGAAAAGCCUCUAAGCUUCAGUCUAACGAUGACCGUACCGCAAACCGACACAGGUGGGCGAGAUGAGUAUUCUAAGGCGCUUGAGAGAACUCGGGAGAAGGAACUCGGCAAAUUGGUACCGUAACUUCGGGAUAAGGUACGCCCUUGUAGCUUGACUGGCCUGCGCCAGGAGGGUGAAGGGGUUGCAAUAAACUGGUGGCUGCGACUGUUUAAUAAAAACACAGCACUCUGCAAACACGAAAGUGGACGUAUAGGGUGUGACGCCUGCCCGGUGCCGGAAGAUUAAAUGAUGGGGUGCAAGCUCUUGAUUGAAGUCCCGGUAAACGGCGGCCGUAACUAUAACGGUCCUAAGGUAGCGAAAUUCCUUGUCGGGUAAGUUCCGACCUGCACGAAUGGCGUAACGAUGGCCACACUGUCUCCUCCCGAGACUCAGCGAAGUUGAAGUGUUUGUGAUGAUGCAAUCUACCCGCGGCUAGACGGAAAGACCCCAUGAACCUUUACUGUAGCUUUGCAUUGGACUUUGAACCGAUCUGUGUAGGAUAGGUGGGAGGCUAUGAAACCGGAACGCUAGUUUCGGUGGAGCCGUCCUUGAAAUACCACCCUGGUUUGUUUGAGGUUCUAACCUUGGCCCGUGAUCCGGGUCGGGGACAGUGCAUGGUAGGCAGUUUGACUGGGGCGGUCUCCUCCCAAAGCGUAACGGAGGAGUACGAAGGUACGCUAGGUACGGUCGGAAAUCGUGCUGAUAGUGCAAUGGCAUAAGCGUGCUUAACUGCGAGACCGACAAGUCGAGCAGGUGCGAAAGCAGGUCAUAGUGAUCCGGUGGUUCUGUAUGGAAGGGCCAUCGCUCAACGGAUAAAAGGUACUCUGGGGAUAACAGGCUGAUACCGCCCAAGAGUUCAUAUCGACGGCGGUGUUUGGCACCUCGAUGUCGGCUCAUCUCAUCCUGGGGCUGUAGCCGGUCCCAAGGGUAUGGCUGUUCGCCAUUUAAAGAGGUACGUGAGCUGGGUUUAAAACGUCGUGAGACAGUUUGGUCCCUAUCUGCCGUGGGCGUUGGAUAUUUGAAGGGGGCUGCUCCUAGUACGAGAGGACCGGAGUGGACGAACCUCUGGUGUACCGGUUGUCACGCCAGUGGCAUCGCCGGGUAGCUAUGUUCGGAAGAGAUAACCGCUGAAAGCAUCUAAGCGGGAAACUCGCCUUAAGAUGAGAUAUCCCUGGGGACUAGAUCCCCUUGAAGGGUCGUUCGAGACCAGGACGUUGAUAGGUCAGGUGUGUAAGCGCAGUAAUGCGUUCAGCUAACUGAUACUAAUUGCCCGUAAGGCUUGAUCCU
rnacentral:rRNA from 1 species